rnacentral:rRNA from 1 species
AACGUGUCAUGAGAAAAAGAAAAUCUCAGACCCUAAAAUUACACUCUAUUAGAUGUAAUAUUUACUCUCAAAUGGCGUGCCAGCAGUCUCGGUUAUACGAUUAGAUUCAAAAAUAUACGAACUCUUCAUAAACACAAUCAAAUGAAAAAGCUAAAUCACUAAAGUGAAAUUUUGAAAUAAUCUUAUUUUUGAAAUGAAGAAAAAAUUAACAAGAGGGAAAAGGAUUAGAUACCCUUCUACUAAAUCCCCAAAGGUAAUAAAUGAAAAUCACCAAACCUAAAAAAAUUGGCGGUCUUUUAUCCACUCAGGGGGAUUUGCCCCUUAAAUCGAUAACCCCCGAUUAAUAAAUACCACCCUUAUUAACAUGUAUAUCGCCGAAAGUUAGAAUCAAUCAAUCAAAAAUUUCAGGUAAAAUACAGUUUAUAGGAAUGGAGAGGGUUAAUCACAAAAAAAAAGUUUUAACAAUUUUUAAAAUAAUAAGGACCUGAAAGUAAAAUUUUCUAUAAAAUAAAAAUUUUAAAAGGCAAUCAAGGGUGCCAUAUUUCGCCCGUCGCCCUAGUUAUUAGGUAAGUCGUAACAAAGUAGAAGUUUUGGAAAAAGCUUCUUUU